AUACGGAGGGUGCAAGCGUUAAUCGGAAUUACUGGGCGUAAAGCGCUCGUAGGCGGUUUGUUAAGUCGGAUGUGAAAGCCCCGGGCUCAACCUGGGAACUGCAUUCGAUACUGGCAAACUAGAGUAUAGUAGAGGCAAGUGGAAUUCCAGGUGUAGCGGUGAAAUGCGUAGAUAUCUGGAGGAACAUCAGUGGCGAAGGCGACUUACUGGACCAAUACUGACGCUGAGGUGCGAAAGCGUGGGGAGCAAACAGAAUUAGAAACCCCGGUAGUCC
rnacentral:rRNA from 1 species